UACCAAUCGCAUUAGAAAAGUAUGGGCCAAG
rnacentral:piRNA from 1 species